UGGGGAAUUUUGGACAAUGGGCGAAAGCCUGAUCCAGCAAUGCCGCGUGUGUGAAGAAGGCCUUCGGGUUGUAAAGCACUUUUGUCCGGAAAGAAAUCCUUGGCUCUAAUACAGUCGGGGGAUGACGGUACCGGAAGAAUAAGCACCGGCUAACUACGUGCCAGCAGCCGCGGUAAUACGUAGGGUGCAAGCGUUAAUCGGAAUUACUGGGCGUAAAGCGUGCGCAGGCGGUUUGCUAAGACCGAUGUGAAAUCCCCGGGCUCAACCUGGGAACUGCAUUGGUGACUGGCAGGCUAGAGUAUGGCAGAGGGGGGUAGAAUUCCACGUGUAGCAGUGAAAUGCGUAGAGAUGUGGAGGAAUACCGAUGGCGAAGGCAGCCCCCUGGGCAAGUACUGACGCUCAUGCACGAAAGCGUGGGGAGCAAACNGGAUUAAUNCCCUGGUAGUCCACGCCCUAAANGAUGUCAACUAGUUGUUGGGGAUUCAUUUUCCUUAGUAACGUAGCUAACGCGUGAAGUUGACCGCCUGGGGAGUACGGUCGCAAGAUUAAAACUCAAAUAAUUGACGGGGUC
rnacentral:rRNA from 1 species